CGCUGUUGUUCAUAUUUUACUUAAUUCAAUUAUCUUGGUGCCAAGUUAUAAGUAUACCUGGAGAGGUUUCAAGAAAACAUAAAGAUUCAGUGCCAGUGGUGAAGAAAAGUUUGCUUCCACUUUGCCUGAGGAAGAAGAAGACGGCGAUGUCUAUGACACUGAUGAGAGUGAAGAUGACGAUGACGAUGAAGACAUGGUUAGACGGUUGGUAUGGUGGCUACUAGAUGUUUUUUAUUACAUCUCAAGUUAGUUAGCUUCAAGAAACUUACUGGGAAUGCAAUGGAGAUGAGAUGGUUGAACUGAUUUUGAAGAAUGCAAAUGCUUUGGAUACAAUGACUAUUUCUUGUAAUCCGGUUUCUUACAUGAAAAGCAAAAAUGAAAUUGCAGAUAUUUCGCGUCUUCCUAGAUCUUCAGGGAGCUGUAUGUUCAAAUUCUCCUAACCAGGGAUAAGGUCAGGUUUUCUUCGGUUGGUAAGCGGAGGCAUUUUAAUUUUUUCUAGA